rnacentral:rRNA from 1 species
GAUGAACGCUGGCGGCGUGCCUAAUACAUGCAAGUCGAGCGAAUGGAUUGAGAGCUUGCUCUUAUGAAGUUAGCGGCGGACGGGUGAGUAACACGUGGGUAACCUGCCCAUAAGACUGGGAUAACUCCGGGAAACCGGGGCUAAUACCGGAUAACAUUUUGAACCGCAUGGUUCGAAAUUGAAAGGCGGCUUCGGCUGUCACUUAUGGAUGGACCCGCGUCGCAUUAGCUAGUUGGUGAGGUAAAGGGUCACCAAGGCAACGAUGCGUAGCCGACCUGAGAGGGUGAUCGGCCACACUGGGACUGAGACACGGCCCAGACUCCUACGGGAGGCAGCAGUAGGGAAUCUUCCGCAAUGGACGAAAGUCUGACGGAGCAACGCCGCGGGAGUGAUGAAGGCUUUCGGGUCGUAAAACUCUGUUGUUAGGGAAGAACAAGUGCUAGUUGAAUAAGCUGGCACCUUGACGGUACCUAACCAGAAAGCCACGGCUAACUACGUGCCAGCCGCCGCGGUAA